CCAGCAGCCGCGGUAAUACGGAGGAUGCGAGCGUUAUCCGGAUUUAUUGGGUUUAAAGGGUGCGUAGGCGGUUGUAUAAGUCAGCGGUGAAAUUUUCCGGCUUAACCGGGAGACUGCCGUUGAUACUGUAUAGCUUGAAUGCGGUUGCUGUGAGUGGAAUGUGUGGUGUAGCGGUGAAAUGCAUAGAUAUCACACAGAAUAUCGAUUGCGAAGGCAGCUCACAAAGCCGUUAUUGACGCUGAUGCACGAAAGUGUGGGGAUCAAACAGGAUUAGAUACCCUGGUAGUCCACACUGUAAACGAUGAUAACUAGCUGUCGGCGAUACAUAGUCGGUGGUCAAGCGAAAGCGAUAAGUUAUCCACCUGGGGAGUACGACCGCAAGGUUGAAACUCAAAGGAAUUGACGGGGGCCCGCACAAGCGGAGGAACAUGUGGUUUAAUUCGAUGAUACGCGAGGAACCUUACCCGGGCUCGAACGGUGCAGUAAUAUGGUAGAGAUAUCAUAGCUAGCAAUAGACUGUAUCGAGGUGCUGCAUGGUUGUCGUCAGCUCGUGCCGUGAGGUGUCGGCUUAAGUGCCAUAACGAGCGCAACCCUUGUCGUUAGUUACCAUCAAGUAAAGUUGGGGACUCUAGCGAGACUGCCACCGUAAAGUGUGAGGAAGGGGGGGAUGACGUCAAAUCAGCACGGCCCUUACGUCCCGGGCGACACACGUGUUACAAUGGUAGGUACAGAGGGCCGCUAUCCAGUGAUGGAGUGC
rnacentral:rRNA from 1 species